rnacentral:rRNA from 1 species
CCUACGGGAGGCAGCAGUGGGGAAUUUUGCGCAAUGCUCGUAAGAGUGACGCAGCGACGCCGCGUGAAUGACGAAGGCCUUCGGGUCGUAAAGUUCUUUCGACAGGGAAGAAAAUGCCUAUAAGUAACUGUGUAUGUAUUGACGGUACCUGUAUAAGCAGCCCCGGCUAACUCCGUGCCAGCAGCCGCGGUAAUACGGAGGGGGCGCGCGUUGUUCGGAGGGACUGGGCGUAAAGAGCACGUAGGCGGUGUUGUAAGUCAUUAGUCAAAGACUAGAGCUCAACUUUAGUAAGGCUAGUGAUACUAUAAUACUAGAGUAUCAGAGAGGAUUGCAGAAUUCCUGGUGUAGCGGUGAAAUGCGUAGAUAUCAGGAGGAAUACCGUUAGCGAAGGCGGCAAUCUGGCUGGAAACUGACGCUGAGGUGCGAAAGCGUGGGUAGCAAACAGGAUUAGAUACCCCAGUAGUC